AGUAAGAUCAGCUAAAUUAAGCUUUUGGGCCCAUACCCCAAAAAUGUAGGUUAAAACCCUUCUCUUACCA
ensembl:Mt_tRNA